rnacentral:lncRNA from 1 species
UGCAUUUAAUCAUCUUCCGAUGAAUGCUAGAGAAACUGAUCUAGAGUGGCUCCUCUUGGUUAGAACUAGCUGAAGCAUACUGUAUAUACUUACUACUUUUAAAAAUUUCAUAUAAAGGAAUAGAAAAUAAUACUGGAAAAAAAACAAAAAAGGUCACAAUCUUCCAUAAUUCCAUCACUCUUACCAAUUACCUGAAGUUAAAAAACCCUCUCAAGUUUCUCCCUUUGCUUAUCAAGCCCUGCUGCAGAGAGGUAAGCUCUGUUCAGAAUUUGCUUUGUGUCCUGGAUUUUUUCCUAUGCUCACAGAGACAGGAUUAGCUGGCGGUCUUGCUUUGUGUGCUAUCUUUCUAGACAUGUAAAAUAAUACAUUUGAAAUACUUGUUUUAAUGGUAUUUUAUAAUAAAGCAGCUAUUAAUAACUUUCCUUUUUUUCUUUAUUCCAGCCGUCUUUGUGGCAAUUCUACAUUGGUUACAUUUAGUAACACUUUUUGAAAAUGAUCAUCAUUUCUCUCACCUCUCAUCUUUGGAACGGGAGAUGACUUUUUGCAUUGAAACGGUUAGGUUUCUUCUUCUAACGAAUUAAUUUGUGGUUUAAGAAUAGCCAGACCGAGAGGUGACAGCAUGCUGGCAGUCCUCAGAGCCCUUGCUUGCUCUCGGCACCUCCCCUGCCUGGGCUCCCGCUUUGGUGGCAUUUGAGGAGCCCUUCAGUCCCCCACUGCACUGUGGGAGCCCCUUUCUGGGCUGGCCAAGGCCGGAGCCCACUCCCUCAGCUUGCAGGGAGGUGUGGAGGGAGAGACACGAGCGGGAACCGGGGCUGUGUGCUGCACUUGCGGGCCAUCUGGAGUUCCGGGUGGGCGUGGGCUUGGUGGGCCCCGCACUCAGAGCAGCCAGCCAGCCCUGCUGGCCCCGGGCAAUGGGGGACUUAGCACCUGGGCCAGUGGCUGCGGAGGGUGUACUGAGUCCCCCAGCAGUGCUGGCCCACCGGCGCUGCGCUCGAUUUCUCGCUGGGCCUUGGCUGCCUUCCCACGGGGCAGGGCUCGGGACCUGCAGCCCGCCAUGCCUGAGCCUCCUACCCAAUCCAUGGGCUCCUGUGCGGCCUGAGCCUCCCCGACGAGCACCACCCCCUGCUCCACGGCGCCCAGUCCCAUCGACCACGCAAGGGCUGAGGAAUGCGAGCGCCCGGCACAGGACUGGCAGGCAGCUCCACCUGCAGCCCCAGUGCAGGAUCCACUAGGUGAAGCCAGCUGGGCUCCUGAGUCUGGUGGGGACGUGGAGAGUCUUUAUAUCUAGCUCAGGGAUUGUAAAUACACCAAUCAGCACCCUGUGUUUAGCUCAAGGUUUGUGAGUGCACCAGUCAACACUCUGUAUCUAGCUGCUCUGGUGAGGGCGUGGAGAGUCUUUAUGUCUAGCUCAAGGAUUGUAAAUACACCAAUCAGCACUCUGUGUCUAGCUCAAGGAUUGUAAAUACACCAAUCGGCACUCUGUAUCUAGCUCAAGGUUUGUAAACACACCAAUCAGCACCCUGUGUUUAGCUCAAGGUUUGUGAGUGCACCAGUCGACACUCUGUAUCUAGCUGCCCUGAUGGGGACGUGGAGAACCUUUGUAUCUAGCUCAGGGAUUGUAAACGCACCAAUCAGCGCCCUGACGAAACAGGCCACUCGGCUCUACCAAUCAGCAGGAUGUAGGUGGGGCCAGAUAAGAGAAUAAAAGCGGGCUGCCCGAGCCAGCAUUGGCAACCCGCUCGGGUCCCCUUCCACACUGUGGAAGCUUUGUUCUUUCGCUCUUUGCAAUAAAUCUUGCUACUGCUCACUCUUUGGGUCCACGCUGCUUUUGUGAGCUGUAACACUCACCAUGAAGAUCUGCAGCUUCACUCCUGAGCCCAGCGAGACCACGAGCCCACCGGGAGGAACGAACAACUCCAGACACGCCACCUUAAGAGCUGUAACACUCACCGCGAGGGUCCACCGCUUCAUUCUUGAAGUCAGUGAGACCAAGAACCCACCAAUUCCGGACACAAGACUAUGAGGGACUUUAUUAUUCUUACUUCAAGACCAUUAUUGAAGCACCUUCAUUUUUGGGAGGACUGUGGAUGAUUAUGAAUGACAGGCUUACUGAAUAUCCUCUUGUAAUUAAUGCAGUAAAACGCUUCCAUAUUUAUCCAGAGAAUUCUGGAGUCCAAGGAAGACCAAGAUCAAGGCGCCAGCAGAUUUGGUGUCUGGUGAAGGCUGCUCUCCGCUUCCAAGAUGGUGCCUUGAUGUUGCAUCUUCCUGAAGGAGAGGAACACUGUGUCCUCACAUGGCAGACAGUAGGAGAGUAAUCAUAGCCUCCUGGUAUCGCACAUUCAUGGGAAUAGUGAAUUUAUUUGGACUAGAAACUAAGACCUGCUGGAAUGUCACCAGAAUAGAACCUCUUAAUGAAGUUCAAAGCUGUGAAGGAUUGCGAGAUCCUGCUUGCUUUUAUGUUGGUGUAAUCUUUAUUUUAAAUGGACUAAUGAUGGGAUUGUUCUUCAUAUAUGGAACAUACCUAAGUGGUACUGAACUGGGAGGUCUUAUUACAGUACUGUGCUUCUUUUUCAACCAUGGAGAGGCCACCUGUGUGAUGUGGACACCACCUCUCCGUGAAAGUUUUUCCUAUCCUUUCCUUGUACUUCAGAUGUAUGUUUUAACUUUGAUUCUCAGAUUAGGUGAUGGAAGCUGCCCAUUCUUCAUCACCCCUUGCUACUCAU